rnacentral:rRNA from 1 species
GUUAGGAAUAUUGGACAAUGGGCGCAUGCCUGAUCCAGCCAUGCCGCGUGAGUGAUGAAGGCCUUCGGGUUGUAAAGCUCUUUAGCCGAUGAUUAUAAUGACUGUAGUCGGAAAAUAAGCCCCGGCUAACUUCGUGCCAGCAGCCGCGGUAAUACGAAGGGGGCGAGCGUUAUUCGGAAUCACUGGGCGUAAAGCGUGCGUAGGCGGCUUUGCAAGUUGGGAGUGAAAGCCCAGGGCUCAACCCUGGAAUUGCUCUCAAAACUGCAAGGCUCGAAUUCGGGAGAGGAUAGCGGAAUUGUCAGUGUAGCAGUGAAAUGCGUAGAUAUUGACAGGAACACCAGUGGCGUAAGCGGCUAUCUGGACCGAUAUUGACGCUGAGGCACGAAAGCGUGGGGAUCAAACAGGAUUAGAUACCCUAGUAGUCC